CUUCAGCAGAGCUUCAGACUGCACUCCUCUACGUAACCCUAAAAUCAUAUUUACAUGUAAUUUUAACAACACCAUUAGCAUAACUUUAGGAAACUCCCAAAAUAAAGGAAAAUUACAUGCGAGGAAAAUCUGUCACAUUGUUCAUCAACAGACACUAUACAUAAUGUGUUUUAAUCAUCUCUCUCCCAUUAGUUUCCUUCGACUGAAAAUGAGUGACUGUCGGUUGCUGCUGAUUUUGAAGGCUACUGGAAUUUCCCAAACUGUGGAGGAGCAAUCGACGGGAAACAUGUGAGGAUUAUUUCCCCUGCAGGAAGUGGAUCCUACUAUCAUAACUACAAAGGGUUCAAAAGCGUCAUCUUAAUGGCUAUUGUAAAUGCGAAUUACGAGUUCAUGAUGGUGGAUGUCGGAAGAAAUGGAAGAAUGUCAGAUGGUGGAGUUUUCCAAACUACAACUUUCUGUAAAAAACUCCAUCGGCAUAACUCAAUCUGCCAUCAGCAGACAUGAACAAAGAAGGUUUGAAUUUUGUCUUCCUCAGAGACAAUGCGUUUGCUUUACACGAGAAUCUGUUGAAACCAUUUGCUCUUAGAGAUCUAACUAUAGAGAAACGAAUAUUCAAUUAUAGAGUUUCCAGAGCAAGACGGGUCGUAGAAAAUGCGUUUGGCAUUUUAGCAAACCGUUUUCGCAUCUUUCACACAACAAUCAAUAUGAGUCCAAACAAAAUAGACGUUGUUGUGCUAGCUUGUUGUAUUUUACAUAAUGUAUUGCGGCAAAAAAAUAAAGGUGGUUAUUCACCAACCACUAUGGUUGAUCGAGAAGAUAUUGAGAGUCGGCAAUUGAUCCCAGGUUCUUGGAGAAAUGAAGAACAACAACUCACCCCUCUUCAAGCGAACCUAAAUAAUACAGGGCAAGCUGGCGGCAAACAGAAUAGAGACAAGUAUGUUACCUACUUCAAUACUACUGGAGCUGUGCCUUGGCAGAACGAUAUGGCCUGAAAUGGUACUAUUAAUGCUGAUCACUUUGCUUACUAUUUAUUUUACUGUUUAACUUUAGUUUAAACUUGAGGCGUACAUUUCUUAGAUUUCUGUAAUACAAUAUUUGAGUUCUGACAAAUUUACAGUAAUGUUUACAAUGACCUACAUUCAUUUGUACAUGUAUGUAUUAAAUAAAACGUUUCAGUUA